rnacentral:rRNA from 1 species
UACGAAGGGGGCUAGCGUUGCUCGGAAUGACUGGGCGUAAAGGGCGCGUAGGCGGUUUGCACAGUCAGAUGUGAAAUUCCUGGGCUCAACCUGGGGGCUGCAUUUGAUACGUGCGGACUAGAGUGGGGAAGAGGGUCGUGGAAUUCCCAGUGUAGAGGUGAAAUUCGUAGAUAUUGGGAAGAACACCGGUGGCGAAGGCGGCGACCUGGUCCUUGACUGACGCUGAGGCGCGAAAGCGUGGGGAGCGAACAGG